rnacentral:rRNA from 1 species
AUGAACGCUAGCGACAGGCUUAACACAUGCAAGUCGAGGGGCAGCGGGGGUAGCAAUACCCGCCGGCGACCGGCGCACGGGUGAGUAACGCGUAUGCAACUUACCUAUCAGAGGGGGAUAACCCGGCGAAAGUCGGACUAAUACCGCAUGAAGCAGGGGCCCCGCAUGGGGAUAUUUGCUAAAGAUUCAUCGCUGAUAGAUAGGCAUGCGUUCCAUUAGGCAGUUGGCGGGGUAACGGCCCACCAAACCGACGAUGGAUAGGGGUUCUGAGAGGAAGGUCCCCCACAUUGGUACUGAGACACGGACCAAACUCCUACGGGAGGCAGCAGUGAGGAAUAUUGGUCAAUGGGCGUAAGCCUGAACCAGCCAAGUCGCGUGAGGGAUGAAGGUUCUAUGGAUCGUAAACCUCUUUUAUAAGGGAAUAAAGUGCGGGACGUGUCCCGUUUUGUAUGUACCUUAUGAAUAAGGAUCGGCUAACUCCGUGCCAGCAGCCGCGGUAAUACGGAGGAUCCGAGCGUUAUCCGGAUUUAUUGGGUUUAAAGGGUGCGUAGGCGGCCUUUUAAGUCAGCGGUGAAAGUCUGUGGCUCAACCAUAGAAUUGCCGUUGAAACUGGGGGGCUUGAGUAUGUUUGAGGCAGGCGGAAUGCGUGGUGUAGCGGUGAAAUGCUUAGAUAUCACGCAGAACCCCGAUUGCGAAGGCAGCCUGCCAAGCCAUGACUGACGCUGAUGCACGAAAGCGUGGGGAUCAAACAGGAUUAGAUACCCUGGUAGUCCACGCAGUAAACGAUGAUCACUAGCUGUUUGCGAUACAGUGUAAGCGGCACAGCGAAAGCGUUAAGUGAUCCACCUGGGGAGUACGCCGGCAACGGUGAAACUCAAAGGAAUUGACGGGGGCCCGCACAAGCGGAGGAACAUGUGGUUUAAUUCGAUGAUACGCGAGGAACCUUACCCGGGUUUGAACGCAUUCGGACCGAGGUGGAAACACCUUUUCUAGCAAUAGCCGUUUGCGAGGUGCUGCAUGGUUGUCGUCAGCUCGUGCCGUGAGGUGUCGGCUUAAGUGCCAUAACGAGCGCAACCCUUGCCACUAGUUACUAACAGGUGAUGCUGAGGACUCUGGUGGGACUGCCAGCGUAAGCUGCGAGGAAGGCGGGGAUGACGUCAAAUCAGCACGGCCCUUACAUCCGGGGCGACACACGUGUUACAAUGGCGUGGACAAAGGGAAGCCACCUGGCGACAGGGAGCGAAUCCCCAAACCACGUCUCAGUUCGGAUCGGAGUCUGCAACCCGACUCCGUGAAGCUGGAUUCGCUAGUAAUCGCGCAUCAGCCAUGGCGCGGUGAAUACGUUCCCGGGCCUUGUACACACCGCCCGUCAAGCCAUGGGAGCCGGGGGUACCUGAAGUCCGUAACCGAAAGGAUCGGCCUAGGGUAAAACUGGUGACUGGGGCU